GGAAGUGUGGCUGAGUGGCUGAAGGCAUCGCUUUCGAAAAGCGACAUGCGGGAAACCGCAUCAGGGGUUCGAAUCCUCUCACUUCCG
rnacentral:tRNA from 4 species